rnacentral:rRNA from 1 species
UCGGGUGACGAGUGGCGGACGGGUGAGUAAUGUCUGGGAAACUGCCUGAUGGAGGGGGAUAACUACUGGAAACGGUAGCUAAUACCGCAUAACGUCGCAAGACCAAAGAGGGGGACCUUCGGGCCUCUUGCCAUCAGAUGUGCCCAGAUGGGAUUAGCUAGUAGGUGGGGUAACGGCUCACCUAGGCGACGAUCCCUAGCUGGUCUGAGAGGAUGACCAGCCACACUGGAACUGAGACACGGUCCAGACUCCUACGGGAGGCAGCAGUGGGGAAUAUUGCACAAUGGGCGCAAGCCUGAUGCAGCCAUGCCGCGUGUAUGAAGAAGGCCUUCGGGUUGUAAAGUACUUUCAGCGGGGAGGAAGGCGAUAAGGUUAAUAACCUUGUCGAUUGACGUUACCCGCAGAAGAAGCACCGGCUAACUCCGUGCCAGCAGCCGCGGUAAUACGGAGGGUGCAAGCGUUAAUCGGAAUUACUGGGCGUAAAGCGCACGCAGGCGGUCUGUCAAGUCGGAUGUGAAAUCCCCGGGCUCAACCUGGGAACUGCAUUCGAAACUGGCAGGCUGGACUCUUGUAGAGGGGGGUAGAAUUCCAGGUGUAGCGGUGAAAUGCGUAGAGAUCUGGAGGAAUACCG